UACGUAGGGGGCAAGCGUUAUCCGGAUUUACUGGGUGUAAAGGGAGCGUAGACGGCAGGGCAAGUCUGGAGUGAAAGGCAGGGGCCCAACCCCUGGACUGCUCUGGAAACUGUCCGGCUGGAGUGCAGGAGAGGUAAGUGGAAUUCCUAGUGUAGCGGUGAAAUGCGUAGAUAUUAGGAGGAACACCAAUGGCGAAGGCGGCUUACUGGACUGUAACUGACGUUGAGGCUCGAAAGCGUGGGGAGCAAACAGG
rnacentral:rRNA from 1 species